rnacentral:rRNA from 1 species
GGCCUAUUGAUAAUGAUUUUAGGUCUGACCUGCCCAAUGAUUAAAAAUUGAAUGGCCGCGGUAAUUUGACCGUGCAAAGGUAGCAUAAUCAUUAGUUUUUUAAUUGAAAGCUUGUAUGAAAGGUUUAAUGAAAAAAUAGCUGUCUCUAUUUAAAUUAAUUAGAAUUUUAUUUUUGAGUAAAAAAGCUCAAAUUUUAAUUGAAGACGAGAAGACCCUAUAGAGUUUUAUAGUUAAAAAUAUAAGAAAAUAGUAGAAUUUCAAUUUUUUAUAUUUUUGGUUAUUUGAUUGGGGUGAUAAAAAAAUUGAAUUAACUUUUUUUAUAAGGAAACAUUAGUUUAUGAAAAAUUGAUCCUUUAUUUAAGAUUAAAAGAUAAAAUUACCUUAGGGAUAACAGCGUAAUUUUUUUUUAGAGUUCAAAUUAAAAAAAAAGAUUGCGACCUCGAUGUUGGAUUAAAAGGAAUUAUUGGUGUAGAAGCUAAUAAAUUAGGUCUGUUCGACCUUUAAAAAUUUACAUGAUCUGAGUUUAAACCGGUGUGAG